GCACAAGCAGCGGAGCGUGUGGUUUAAUUCGAGGCUACGCGAAGAACCUUACCUGGGUUUGACAUAUGGGUGGUAGGGAACCGAAAGGGACCGACCUUCGGGAGCCCAUACAGGUGCUGCAUGGCUGUCGUCGGCUCGUGCCGUGAGGUGUUCGGUUAAGUCCGGUAACGAGCGCAACCCUCGUCGUCAGUUACAAGUGUCUGACGAGACUGCCCGUGAUAAGCGGGAGGAAGGUGGGGAUGACGUCAAGUCAGCAUGGCCUUUAUAUCCAGGGCUACACACACGCUACAAUGGCCGGUACAAUGGGUCGCCAACCCGCGAGGGGGAGCCAAUCCAAUAAAGCCGGUCUCAGUUCGGAUUGCAGGCUGCAACCCGCCUGCAUGAAGUCGGAGUUGCUAGUAACCGCGCGUCAGCACAGUGCGGUGAAUACGUUCCCGGGCCUU
rnacentral:rRNA from 1 species